rnacentral:rRNA from 1 species
AUUGAACGCUGGCGGCAUGCCUUACACAUGCAAGUCGAACGGCAGCACGGGAGCAAUCCUGGUGGCGAGUGGCGAACGGGUGAGUAAUAUAUCGGAACGUGCCCAGUCGUGGGGGAUGACGUAGCGAAAGCUACGCUAAUACCGCAUACGAUCUAUGGAUGAAAGCGGGGGAUCGCAAGACCCCGCGCGAUUGGAGCGGCCGAUAUCAGAUUAGGUAGUUGGUGGGGUAAAGGCUCACCAAGCCGACGAUCUGUAGCUGGUCUGAGAGGACGACCAGCCACACUGGGACUGAGACACGGCCCAGACUCCUACGGGAGGCAGCAGUGGGGAAUUUUGGACAAUGGGCGCAAGCCUGAUCCAGCAAUGCCGCGUGCAGGAUGAAGGCCUUCGGGUUGUAAACUGCUUUUGUACGGAGCGAAAAGGCUUCCACUAAUACUGGGGGCUCAUGACGGUACCGUAAGAAUAAGCACCGGCUAACUACGUGCCAGCAGCCGCCGUAAAAC